GGAAAAAGAAGUAGGCGCAAUGAGGAGUCAUGUUCAUUCACAAGCUCUAACAGAGAAAGUUGGGGCAGAUGUUCAUCUUUAGGUGCAGCCAGUGAUGAAUUAUUCUCAGGCGAUAAUAAUGAUAAGCAGAUAUGAGCCCUUGGGCCUCCAGUUCGGGCAACAAGCAUAUGGCAAAGAGAGUGAGGGGGCAUGAUAUUGUUUUCCAAUUCCAACAGACUGUGAUGAUGUGUAGAGGCAAAGGAUCCUUUAGAGUUCAUCACUCAUCGAGCCAAAGAUUUUGUGUCAAGCAUGAAGGACAUUGAAACCCGGUUUAUGUGUAUAGUUGAAGCAGGAAAUAAGGUUUCUAGAAUGCUUGAAACCAAGAAGAUCUUGCUUGACAUAUGUGCUAAAAUACCAGGAUUCUAGGUUCUCCAGUUAAGCUACCUACUGCCCGAUUGUGUCAGCACUUCAAGUGUGCUGCAAUUGUGAUGUUAUUCUCAACCAUGGUAACCAGGGAUGAGGAAGUUGUUGGACUUUGAUGAACCUAGAACUCUUGCACCAACUUGUCUUUUUGUUGGAGGUACAAAAUACAUGGUGAUCCAAGGUGAACCUAGAGUGGUCAUCCGAGGAAAGAAGAAUAUUUUGCCAGUGAUGACGUGUGUUUAGAGGAUGGGAUCCCUGCAAUUGUCAAACAAGGCAAGUGAGAUGUACAUGUAGUGUUCGGAUUGUCGGUGUUCAGUGUUUAUCAUCUUUGCUUAUCGUGGCUUCUUUUUCUAUUAGGAGAUGAGAGACCCCUUGAAUUGCUUGCAAAAGCAUAUGCUAUCAAAUCUUUUGACAUAGAUCCCAGAACCCCUCUGAUGUUGUUUUCACGUUAGAAUGGGAAUCAAUCGGUGUCCUACCUUGUGGCGAGAUGGCGAGAAGAAAGAUAAUUUUUACUACCAAGGGAUCUUAAUCAGAAUUCUAGGCUCAUUCAUACAUUCACUACAAUGCCUUCGAACUCAUGAACAUUUAUCUCUGGCUCUAUUGUGGUGGGUUACAUGAAUAGAGUUUUUGCAUGUUCUUCGUUUUAUAUGGUGACAUACUUGUUACUAUGUGACAUUGUUUGAUGAAACCCUUGCGGCAUUGUAUUAUUUAUUUUGUUCUAUAUAGUCUUAACAUUUUAUCAAAUAAAAAUUUAUGUGACGUCA